rnacentral:lncRNA from 7 species
GAAGUCUCAGAAGCCUGUCUGAAUAACCCAGGGUGGCAUUUGUCCUAACAGCACAACAAAUGGAUAUAGACCACUGAGGGUUCUGUGUGUGCUGGGUACAGCACACUCUGUAAUGUACAGAUUAUGCAGCAAUCUCUCGUCUACAUGGAGGAGCACCUUCAGCACCUGGCCAGCUUGGGAGUGAAGCUAUGGACCCACCUCCUUCUUGGUUACCUCCCAGCAGUAUAACUAUUUCCUUAUCAGGUGGCAGAAUACCCUGAAGACAUUGCAGAGGCACUGGGAAGGUCACCGAGAAGGAAGCAAAGAACAAAGCAGUUCCCACUGUAGCAGCGGUCCCUUCCCCAGCUCACUAAUGCAAAGCGCAAUAACUUUCACCACAGCUUCUUUUCUAUUAAACCACUCAGGGGUUUUAUUGGCUGGAUAUGGAAAUGCCAAAUUCAAUUGGAUUCUACCUCCCACAUUACUGGGUUACUGCAGAUUUUAAUAAUCUGCCCCCAUUAUCAAAUGUCGGCAAGCAAAAUGCAAAUAGUAAUAAAAAUUGCUAUUCUUCUGCUUUAAAGUUCAAAGAGCACAGUUCUCUACUUUAGGUUUGAAGUUUUAUGUUUACUGUAAAAGCCAGAAUGCUGCACGUAGCAGCCCAUAUGCUUAUACUUGCAUACACAUGUACACAGGGAUACUCCCAAACACAUGUACCAAGAAACGUAUGUGCUUACUCACAUGAAAACCAAAACCAUCCCCAAGCAGUGUACUGUAUUUAAUAUAAACAAUACCAAUGCCCUUUGCUUUCUCUGCUGCAGAGUGACCCAGUGGUACCUGUGUAAGUGCUCUUGCUCUCCAUACAGAUCCUGAUGAGUGCAAGGAAGGGAUGGAGCUCCGAGAACAAACCUCCAGAAUAUUUUCACAGAAAUCAAAAUGAGCUGCAAGUUUAUCCAUUCAGUAAACGGAUUUUGUUCUCUGAACUUUUUAUUCACAACAAUGCAAAAAACUCAAUGCUGAAAUUCUCAGAUCUUGAGGGAUUUGAGCUUUUCAGUAAUUAAACUCAAAUAGUCAAUUGUCCAACACUUCUGUUGUUUGUGAAGAAAAAUCCACAGGAGUCUUCAACUUACAUUUGCUUGCUUUCUUUUACAGAUUUCAAAUAAGCUUUAAACAAUGCCUGUGCCAACUUGUUUCACCACAGGCUCAGUUAAGCCCAAUUAGGGUUGCCAGGAAUCUGGGUGAACUAAAUCAAAGAGGAACUUCGGAAGAGACCAGGCAGCAGCAACGUUAAUGAGACUGCUGCUUACUUGUAAUGCAUUAAUCCAAACGUCUUCUCAAAUUUCAGCUGUAAUAUGUAGAACACAGCAAAGAGUGAUGCCGUUAACCGAGAACACUGCUGUUGUGUAAAGACAUUGGAAACUCAACAUUAUGUCUCUGGAAAGGCUGUUCAGUGUUCUUUUCAAUGGGCAGGAGUAGUGUUUGGCCUUCCACAUGCAGGAGAGUGCAAAUAUAUCAGAGUAUGAUUUUCAGAAAAAAGCAUCCCUGGGGAGCCCUCGCUGCUCAGCAACAAAGAAAACCAUUCCCAUCAGUAUUAU